GACGAACGCUGGCGGCGUGCUUAACACAUGCAAGUCGAACGGAAAGGCCCUGCUUUUGUGGGGUGCUCGAGUGGCGAACGGGUGAGUAACACGUGAGUAACCUGCCCUUGACUUUGGGAUAACUUCAGGAAACUGGGGCUAAUACCGGAUAGGAGCUCCUGCUGCAUGGUGGGGGUUGGAAAGUUUCGGCGGUUGGGGAUGGACUCGCGGCUUAUCAGCUUGUUGGUGGGGUAGUGGCUUACCAAGGCUUUGACGGGUAGCCGGCCUGAGAGGGUGAACGGCCACAUUGGGACUGAGAUACGGCCCAGACUCCUACGGGAGGCAGCAGUGGGGAAUAUUGCACAAUGGGCGGAAGCCUGAUGCAGCAACGCCGCGUGCGGGAUGACGUCCUUCGGGUUGUAAACCGCUUUCGCCUGUGACGAAGCGUGAGUGACGGUAAUGGGUAAAGAAGCACCGGCUAACUACGUG
rnacentral:rRNA from 1 species